CACGCCCUAAACGAUGUCAACUAGUUGUCGGGGAUUAAUUUCCUUGGUAACGCAGCUAACGCGUGAAGUUGACCGCCUGGGGAGUACGGUCGCAAGAUUAAAACUCAAAGGAAUUGACGGGGACCCGCACAAGCGGUGGAUGAUGUGGAUUAAUUCGAUGCAACGCGAAAAACCUUACCUACCCUUGACAUGGUCGGAAUCCCCCAGAGAUGGGGGAGUGCUCGAAAGAGAACCGGCGCACAGGUGC
rnacentral:rRNA from 1 species